rnacentral:rRNA from 1 species
GAUGAACGCUGGCGGCGUGCCUAAUACAUGCCAGUCGAGCGAACGGACGAGAAGCUUGCUUCUCUGAUGUUAGCGGCGGACGGGUGAGUAACACGUGGAUAACCUACCUAUAAGACUGGGAUAACUUCGGGAAACCGGAGCUAAUACCGGAUAAUAUUUUGAACCGCAUGGUUCAAAAGUGAAAGACGGUCUUGCUGUCACUUAUAGAUGGAUCCGCGCUGCAUUAGCUAGUUGGUAAGGUAACGGCUUACCAAGGCAACGAUGCAUAGCCGACCUGAGAGGGUGAUAGGCCACACUGGAACUGAGACACGGUCCAGACCCCUACGGGAGGCAGCAGUAGGGAAUCUUCCGCAAUGGGCGAAAGCCUGACGGAGCAACGCCGCGUGAGUGAUGAAGGUCUUCGGAUCGUAAAACUCUGUUAUUAGGGAAGAACAUAUGUGUAAGUAACUGUGCACAUCUUGACGGUACCUAAUCAGAAAGCCACGGCUAACUACGUG